rnacentral:rRNA from 1 species
AUUGAACGCUGGCGGCAGGCCUAACACAUGCAAGUCGAACGGUAGCACAGAGAGCUUGCUCUCGGGUGACGAGUGGCGGACGGGUGAGUAGUGUCUGGGAAACUGCCCGAUGGAGGGGGAUAACUACUGGAAACGGUAGCUAAUACCGCAUAAUGUCGCAAGACCAAAGAGGGGGACCUUCGGGCCUCUUGCCAUCGGAUGUGCCCAGAUGGGAUUAGCUUGUUGGUGAGGUAAUGGCUCACCAAGGCGACGAUCCCUAGCUGGUCUGAGAGGAUGACCAGCCACACUGGAACUGAGACACGGUCCAGACACCUACGGGAGGCAGCAGUGGGGAAUAUUGCACAAUGGGCGCAAGCCUGAUGCAGCCAUGCCGCGUGUGUGAAGAAGGCCUUCGGGUUGUAAAGCACUUUCAGCGGGGAGGAAGGCGAUACGGUUAAUAACCGUGUUGAUUGACGUUACCCGCAGAAGAAGCACCGGCUAACUCCGUG